UCUGUAUUUUUAUGCAUUGGAUUAUGACCGGCAAGAUAAUCAUUCUUGUAUUUGGUAGUAAAAUAGUAGACUUGAAACAUCCAAAACUGUUUCAUAAAAAGACAAAAUACCACGAGAGUCAGAUUUAUAUACUUUCAUUCCUAAUUCAUAGCUAUUCAAACAUGAGAAAAAUCAAACAUAUUAUACAUAAUAUACAACAUUUGACAGGGAUAAUCAUAUAUAAUCUGUUAAAAUAUACACACGCCAUGUUGGAAUAGACAUUGAAAAUAUCAAAAAAUAGAUAAUCAUACUUAUCACUGGUGAAGAUGUGGUUAGAGUUGGCCUACGUUAACCAAUGCUUCUCUAAUGAGGUGAGUAACGGGAUUGGGUGGUCAGGAUCGCUGACCUGGGGCUCAUUUCACGAAGCAACCUUUACUAAGGUUAACCUUAACUCCCAUUCUUUACCAUUGCACUAAGGUUACCAAAGUGACUUACGAUCACCUUAGAGCUUUUGAAAGGAGGCCCUGUUUCACACAGCUCUCGUAAGCACAAGAUCUCGUAACAUCUCCUAUGUUACAGUAUAGGAGGUACAGCAGAUACGAGAAAAGUUACGAGAUCUUAGGCUUUACGAGAACUUUGUGUAAGGGGGCCCUGGUUGCUGCAAGUCAUUGUGGACAUUUUGCGUAGAUCGAUGCUCGUGAUGUCAAUCAACAUAGCCUCAAUGCCUCCCACAAUACCAGCCACUUAUAUUAUACACAUAUAAUUCUACUCAUGAUGUCAACCAACCUAGCCUAAAUGCCUCCCACAAUACCAGCCACUUAUAUUAUACACAUAUAAUUCCACUCAUGAUGUCAAUCAACAUAGCCUCAAUGCCUCCCACAAUACCAGUCAGUCUUAUAUUAUACACAUAUAAUUCCACUCAUGAUGUCAAUCAACAUAGCCUCAACGCCUCCAACAAUACCAGUCACUUAUAUUAUACAUAUAAUUCCACUCAUGAUGUCAACCAACAUAGCCUCAACGCCUCCCACAAUACCAGUCACUUACAUUAUACACAUAUAAUUCCACUCAUGGUGUCAACCAACAUAGCCUCAACACCUCCCACAAUACCAUCCACUUAUAUUAUACACAUAUAAUUCCACUCAUGAUGUCAAUCAACAUAGCCUCAAUACCUCCCACAAUACCAGUUACUUAUAGUAUACACAUAUAAUUCCACUCAUGAUGUCAAUCAACAUAGCCUCAACGCCUCCCACAAUACCAGCCACUUAUAUUAUACACAUAUAAUUCCACUCAUGAUGUCAAACCAACAUAGCCUAAAUGCCUCCAACAAUACCAGCCACGUAUAUUAUACACAUAUAAUUCCACUCAUGAUGUCAAUCAACAUAGCCUCAAUGCCUCCCCACAAUACCAGUCACUUAUUUAUUAUACACAUAUAAUUCCACUCAUGGUGUCAACCAACAUAGCCUCAACACCUCCCACAAUACCACCACUUAUAGUAUACACAUAUAA